GGGGAGCAAUCCAGCGCCGCCGCCGCCGCCACGGUGGCGGCGGCGAAGGAAUGGGAGAGGGA
rnacentral:SRP_RNA from 12 species